UCCGUAGGCGGGUAAUUAAGUCAGUGGUGAAAUCUUACAGCUCAACUGUAAAAUUGCCAUUGAUACUGGAUGUCUUGAAUUAGUGUGAAGUGGUUAGAAUGUGUAGUGUAGCGGUGAAAUGCAUAGAUAUUACACAGAAUACCAAUUGCGAAGGCAGAUCACUAACACUAUAUUGACGCUGAGGGACGAAAGCGUGGGGAGCGAACAGGAUUAGAUACCCUGGUAGUCC
rnacentral:rRNA from 1 species